rnacentral:rRNA from 1 species
ACACUGGGACUGAGACACUGCCCAGACUCCUACGGGAGGCUGCAGUCGAGAAUCUUCCGCAAUGGGCGAAAGCCUGACGGAGCGACGCCGCGUGGAGGACGAAGGCCUUCGGGUUGUAAACUCCUGUCACGUGACGAGAAACGCAAAACGCCAAUACCGUUUUGUUUGACAACUCGUGAGAGGAAGUCACGGCUAACUCUGUGCCAGCAGCCGCGGUAAUACAGAGGUGGCAAGCGUUGUUCGGAAUCACUUGGCAUAAAGGGCGCGUAGGCGGUCGAUCAAGUCGGUUGUGAAAGCCCUCGGCUCAACCGAGGAACUGCAUCCGAUACUGAUUGGCUAGAGUAUGGUAGGGGAGAGUGGAACUCCUGGUGGAGCGGUGAAAUGCGUAGAUAUCAGGAGGAACGCCGGUGGCGAAAGCGACUCUCUGGACCACAACUGACGCUGAGGCGCGAAAGCCAGGGGAGCAAACGGGAUUAGAUACCCCGGUAGUCCUGGCCCUAAACGAUGGGCACUAGGUAGUGGGGGGUCCGAUCUUCUCACUGCCGGAGCGAAUGUGUUAAGUGCCCCGCCUGGGGAGUACAGUCGCAAGGCCGAAACUCAAAGGAAUUGACGGGGGCUCACACAAGCGGUGGAGGAUGUUGCUUAAUUCGAAGCAACGCGUAGAACCUUACCUGGGCUUGACAUGGAUGUGAUACGGACCCGAAAGGGCGAGGACCCGGUUUUCCGGGAGCAUUCACAGGUGUUGCAUGGCUGUCGUCAGCUCGUGUCGUGAGAUGUUGGGUUAAGUCCCGUAACGAGCGAAACCCUUGUCGUUAGUUGCCAGCGGGUAAUGCCGGGGACUCUAGCGAGACUGCCGGUGUCAAACCGGAGGAAGGUGGGGACGACGUCAAGUCAUCAUGGCCCUUACGCCCAGGGCUGCAAACGUCCUACAAUGGUCGGUACAAAGGGAUGCAAUACCGCAAGGUGGAGCGAAUCCCACAAAGCUGGCCCCAGUUCGGAUUGUGGGCUGCAAUUCGCCCGCAUGAAGCCGGAAUCGCUAGUAAUCGCGGAUCAGCACGCCGCGGUGAAUAUGUUCCUGAGCCUUGUACACACCGCCCGUCAAGCCACGGGAAUCGGUAGCACCCGAAGUCGUUUGCCUAACCCUUCGGGGAGGGCGGCGCCGACGGUGAGAUCGAUGACUGGGACUAAGUCGUAACAAGGUA